CUGGAAUGGAUCAUGGCCUAAAUCUACAUGGCCCCUGGAUUGGACUGCGGCCGAUCAGGCUGUUGGUGAGGUAAUGGCCCACCAAACCUAUAACAGGUACGGGCUCUGAGAGGAGAAGCCCGGAGAUGGGUACUGAGACACGGACCCAGGCCCUAUGGGGCGCAGCAGGCGAGAAACCUUAGCAAUGUGCGAAAGCACGACUGGGUCAGUCCGAGUGAUUCCUGAUAAAGGAGUCUUUUAUCUGUCCUAAAAGCACAGGUGAAUAAGGGGUGGGCAAGUCUGGUGUCAGCCGCCGCGGUAAUACCAGCACCUCGAGUGGUCAGGACGUUUAUUGGGCCUAAAGCAUCCGUAGCCGGCUUUGCAAGUCUUCGGUUAAAUCCACCUGCUCAACAGAUGGGCUGCUGGAGAUACUACAAAGCUAGGGAGUGGGAGAGGCAGACGGUAUUCAGUGGGUAGGGGUAAAAUCCUCUGAUCCAUCGAGGACCACCAGUGGCGAAGGCGGUCUGCCAGAACACGUUCGACGGUGAGGGAUGAAAGCUGGGGGAGCAAACCGGAUUAGAUACCCGGGUAGUCCCAGCUGUAAACGAUGCAAACUCGGUGAUGCAUUGGCUUAUGGCCAAUGCAGUGCCGCAGGGAAGCCGUUAAGUUUGCCGCCUGGGAAGUACGGACGCAAGUCUGAAACUUAAAGGAAUUGGCGGGGGAGCACCACAAGGGGUGAAGCCUGCGGUUCAAUUGGACUCAACGCCGGU
rnacentral:rRNA from 1 species